rnacentral:rRNA from 1 species
AGCGAACGCUGGCGGCAGGCUUAACACAUGCAAGUCGAACGGGCGUAGCAAUACGUCAGUGGCAGACGGGUGAGUAACGCGUGGGAACGUGCCUUUUGGUUCGGAACAACCCAGGGAAACUUGGGCUAAUACCGGAUAAGCCCUUACGGGGAAAGAUUUAUCGCCAAAAGAUCGGCCCGCGUCUGAUUAGCUAGUUGGUGAGGUAAUGGCUCACCAAGGCGACGAUCAGUAGCUGGUCUG